GUCAUAUUGUAAAAGGCAUAUCUUUGCUCACUAGAUUUUCAUCCAAGUGGUAAGAAGUUCACAUUAAAUUAUGAGAACUUAAGGGAACUAAGACCAGACUGAGGGACAGCAGAGUCACGGCUCCCACCUCAAACACACUCUGAGGCAUCUGUCCAUGGAGGGCAACAGCUGGGUGGAUCGCCCAAGCUACUUAAAUGCAUCUCAACAUCUCCUAACUACAGCAGAUGAAGAUGACUUUGAGUUCACUAUUGACACGGAUGAAUUGACGCAUUUCAAAAAAAAUUGGAACACAGCAAAACCAUCCCUGUCUUCAAGAUGCUUUCACUUUGAGUAUUGAAUCCAUAUAUCAUAUUGAUUUGUGAAGUAGUUCUUAUUAAUAUAUAAUCACACUGAAUAAAGUGUGUACAAAUGAGGAAAAAAAAAGAACCAUUUUUGAACUUCAGACAGAAACCAUGAAUGCUGGCCUCUCCGGUAUUUCUUCUAUCAAGAAGAACAGUUUCUGAGGCAAGUCUUGCUGCCUUAAUCAUUGUUAGGGCUCCACAAAGCAAAUGCUCUUCCAGUUGACUGGGUGAAUAGGCUCUGUCUUCUCCUCAUUAGAGCGUCAUGUGUGGUUUACUCCUCGACAACACAACCUCCCAACUGCUGGAAAGGUUCCUAUCAAGUCCUAGUCGAUAAAAAUGAAAUAAUUAAGGAUGGUACUGCACAUUGCAAGCUUGGGCAGAAUUUAUCCCAUGGAACCACUCCUGGGCCUCAUGAAGGCUUGCAAAAUUUGGGCUGUGUUAGCAAAGUUUGUCCUCUUCACACAGCACCGUUUCUUCCCCGCAUGAAGUAUUUCCAUAUGCUCUCAUUCACUCUCCCUUGUCUCAAAAGCCUUCUUUCCAGAGUGAAACUAAUGACCUUUGGCACAUGUGAAUCACUGAAGCUUUUAAACUAGUGAUAAAGUCUGAGUGGAAGGACUGGCUCCACCUUCUUGGCCUUGGAGAGGAGCACUCACCCUGCUGGGGAUGAGGGCAGUGUAGGUGGGAGGGCGUGGGUUUCUUCUGGAGCAUCAUCCUCACAGGUUAGGACCCCACGGUACACUGAGAACCUUUCUAUUAGCUUCUAGUGGUUCUACAACAUAGUAAUUUCUUUAGGCUCUUCAAAUAGUUUUUAUCCUUGGCCUACAGUGAAAUGAGGGG
rnacentral:lncRNA from 1 species